rnacentral:rRNA from 1 species
CCUACGGGGGGCAGCAGUGAGGGAUAUUGCACAAUGGGGGAAACCCUGAUGCAGCGACGCCGCGUGGGUGAAGAAGCGCCUCGGCGCGUAAAGCCCUUUCAGCAGGGAAGAAAAUGACGGUACCUGAAGAAGAAGCCCCGGCUAACUACGUGCCAGCAGCCGCGGGAAUACGUAGGGGGCAAGCGUUAUCCGGAUUUACUGGGUGUAAAGGGGGCGCAUACGGCGAUGAAAGCCAGGAGUGAAAGGCCGGGGCCCAACCGCGGGACUGCUCUUGGAACUGCGUGGCUAGAGUGCAGGAGGGGCAGGCGGAAUUCCUGGUGUAGCGGUGAAAUGCGUAGAUAUCAGGAGGAACACCGGUGGCGAAGGCGGCCUGCUGGACUGCAACUGACGUUGAGGCCCGAAAGCGUGGGGAGCAAACAGGAUUAGAUACCCCAGUAGUC